rnacentral:tRNA from 1 species
CCGGGCGUAGCUCAGCGGCAGAGCGGCCGGCUGUAGUUGUAUAGCAGAUACCGGCAGGUCGGGGGUUCGAAUCCCCCCGCCCGGA